UUAUCUCUGUAGAGUCUGCAUAUCAAUAAGCGGAGGAAAAGAAACUAACAAGGAUUCCCUUAGUAACGGCGAGUGAAGCGGGAAGAGCUCAAAUUUGAAAUCUUCAAGGUUUUACCUUGAUGAAUUGUAGUUUAAAGAAGUGUUUUCUGUUGGAGUUUUGGUAAAAGUUCUUUGGAAUAGGACAUCAUAGAGGGUGAGAAUCCCGUAUUUGACCAUUAUUUCCAGCUGUGUGAUACACUUUCAAAGAGUCGGAUUGUUUGGGAAUGCAGUCCAAGAUGGGUGGUAAAUUUCAUCUAAAGCUAAAUAUUGGCGAGAGACCGAUAGCGAACAAGUACCGUGAGGGAAAGAUGAAAAGAACUUUGAAAAGAGAGUUAAACAGUACGUGAAAUUGUCAAAAGGGAAGCGUUUGACACCAGUGUUGUUUUCUCGAAAAUCAAUUAAAAAUGAUGGGAUUUUGUGUUGUAUUGACCUUAUAAGCUUUCUGCACUUUUUUCUAUGUCUUUUUUAAUGCACUUUUCGUUUAACAAGUCAACAUCAAUUUCUUUUGUUGUAGAAGAGUCAUUGGAAGGUGGCUUUUCACUUCGGUGAAAAGUGUUUAUAGCCUUUGACUUCUGCAAUCGGAGAGAUUGAGGUCUGCAGCGUAGAUCCUUCGGGGUUAGAUACAUUUGUGCUAAGUUAUAGUCCUUUCAUAGACAACUUGUUGACUAUGAAUCAAUCAUGUAAUCUUACUCGCUUAUGUUAUUUUACCUACGCUUAGGAUGUUGAACGCGCACAGAGUCUC
rnacentral:rRNA from 1 species